GUCCACACUGUAAACGUUGAUGACUCGAUGUUGGCGAUACACAGCCAGCGUCCAAGAGCAAUCGUUAAGUCAUCCACCUGGGGAGUACGCCGGCAACGGUGAAACUCAAAGGAAUUGACGGGGUCGCACAAGCGGUGGAGCAUGUGGUUUAAUUCGAUGAUACGCGAGGAACCUUACCUGGGCUAGAAUGCCUUUGAUGGGUACAGAGAUGUAUCGUUUCGCAAGAACAAAGUGCAAGGUGCUGCAUGGCUGUCGU
rnacentral:rRNA from 1 species